rnacentral:rRNA from 1 species
AAAUUGAAGAGUUUGAUCAUGGCUCAGAUUGAACGCUGGCGGCAGGCCUAACACAUGCAAGUCGAACGGUAACAGGAAGCAGCGUGCUGCUUUGCUGACGAGUGGCGGACGGGUGAGUAAUGUCUGGGAAACUGCCUGAUGGAGGGGGAUAACUACUGGAAACGGUAGCUAAUACCGCAUAAUGUCGCAAGACCAAAGAGGGGGACCUUAGGGCCUCUUGCCAUCGGAUGUGCCCAGAUGGGAUUAGCUAGUAGGUGGGGUAA